rnacentral:lncRNA from 1 species
AGAUAGGCAGUACCACUAUAUAGCAGGCUUGCAUGCAUGCAAACUUUGAAAGCAAUCAUUGAACAAAGCUUGGGCAAGGUUAUGGUGAAUAAGAAAGAGAACAAAGUUCAUGAAGAGGUGCGAAGAAAACAGGAAAAAAGCUAUUUUCCAAGAAGAAAAAGAAAAUGGAAGUACAAAUUUCCAACAGCACACAUUUUCUCUGCUCUCUCCUUGGCUCUGAAAGAGGAUGCGUGAAACAGAAUUUCAGGCUGUAAUUAAUGCAGCUCUUCAUAAGAUAAGAGGUUCUUUUAUCUACAGAAAAAUUGCUGCACUAAUUCCCAACAAGAAGUGCAAUGCUCCGGUUAAUGCUCUUUCUACAAGAAGAAUUCACCUUUUCUACCCUCUACAUAUUUACAGACAAAUUUGAAUAUUUUGUUAUGGGAAACUGAAGAUGGGUAAACAUACAAUGAUAAUAGUACUUUAUAGGGCUAAAUCUAAAAGCCUUAAAGAUUAAUAUUAUGUUUGGAUAAAUGCUGAAUAAGUUUACAUAAAGAAUUUUCAAAUAACAUUGACGCUACAGGCAUGUACUUGUAAGCACAGACCUUAAUUGGGCACAACUUAGAUCCAGCACUCUUUGAGGGGGAGAAUAAACAAAUUGGGAAAUGCAUCCUCAUUUGAUACAGUGAGGAAAAAGAGCUAUGGUUCCUUGCUCUGCUUUAAAGUACUGUCCAAAGAAGGAUGAAGCCCCGCUAUUUCAUUUUGAUUUAAAUAUUUCCUUGUAGAAUGCACAUUCCAAUUUGGAAACAAUACUUUCUAUAUGUAUGUUUCAUGUAUGUGCUUGGAAUAAUUGGUAAUGUGUUGGCACUGUGUUCCACUUAAAUGCAUGGCAUUUGUAUACUAUUUAAUGUUUUGUUGUUGUUGUUGUUUUUGAGAUGGAGUCUCAGUCUGUUGCCCAGGCUGGAGUGCAAUGGUGUGAUCUAGGCUCACUGCAACCUCUGCCUCCCGGGUUCAAGCAAUUCUCCUGCCUCAGCCUCCUGAGUAACUGGGAUUACAGGCGCCUGCCACCACGCCUGGCUAAUUUUUUUUUUUUUUUUUUUUUUUUUUUUUUUUUUUUUUUUUAGUAGAGAUGGGGUUUCUCCAUGUUGGCCAGACUGGUCUUGAACUCCUGAACUCAGGUGAUCCACACACCUUGGCCUCCCAAAGUGCUGGGAUUACAGGCGUGAGCCACUGCACCGGCCUUUUAAUGUUUUCUUAAAAACCAGUUUUCUAAGAAAAAAAGAAGAAUGGGAAUACAGCAAAUGAGUAGAAGACAGAGAUCACAAGAAUCGUGCCUGAGGUCCUGGCAAAGAAGACCCCACUGUAAGGCAGAAUGGCACCUCUGAUUCAUUGGCCCCUUUGUAUUGUUCUCAAUUUCUAUAUCCAUAAAUAAUAAGAUUUUCAUUCCCUUCCUUCCACUCUGUGAGGUGGAUGUGAAAUAGGUAGAGAGGUUUGUCACUGGGUGCAAGGCUAAGAUGCUCAGUUAAAGCAGGAAAUUACGUUGUUUGGCUGAGAAAUACGUGUAAUUUCUAAGUGUGAUUAUUGCAAGUAAAAAUGAGUGAUGUUUCAACAAGAGGGUUAUUGUAAUUCAGGGUAUAGCAACAAUUUUAAUGUAAGCGAGAAGAUGUUUGUAACACUUCCAAAAAAAUAGUACUGUAUCAGUCCAGUGUCCACUUUCCUCCAAACCUUCGUGCCCACGCACACACACAUAAAUACAUGCAGGAUUCCUGAGCAGGGAAGGAUCCUUUCUCACGUGUUCACAAAGAGACUUUUAAGCUCAGAACCUCUUGAGGGUGAGAAACUUUUCUUGGCAGACUAUCAACUGGUUCUGAGUGAACAAAUCCGACAGAGCCCUUUUCCUUGCUUCUUUUUGUUCAUAUUGUUCACCCUCUCACAGCAAGGAAGGCUGCUAGGUAGAGUAAGGGGACUCUCAAAGGAGAUGAAGGUAAAUUUUUCUGGAAUAGCUGCAGAGCAAUUCUAAUGCUUCAGUUAAUCUGUUACCUCUUUCCUUGCCCCUAGCCUUCAGUUUUCCUUUUGUAUCCUGAAAAUAACAUUGACAUUAAAUUGGGUCAGUGGAAAAAAAUCAGUCACCAACUGUUGCUUAUAAUUUUGCCCCCAAGAAAACAUUUGGUAACUAACCCUUAUCUAGAGU